rnacentral:rRNA from 1 species
CACGUAGGGACCAAGCGUUGUCCGGAUUCAUUGGGCGUAAAGAGCUCGUAGGCGGUUCGAUAAGUCGGGUGUGAAACCUCCAGGCUCAACCUGGAGACGCCACCCGAUACUGUCGUGACUAGAGUCCAGUAGGGGAGCGUGGAAUUCCUGGUGUAGCGGUGAAAUGCGCAGAUAUCAGGAGGAACACCAGCGGCGAAGGCGGCUCUCUGGGACGGUACUGACGCUGAGACGCGAAAGCGUGGGGGAGCAAACAGG